rnacentral:tRNA from 1 species
CUAAGGAGUAGUAUAAAGGAAGUGCAAAGGGUUUUGAUCUCUCAGGUGUAGGUUCGAUUCCUAUCUCUUUAA